UUGUGGUCUUUCUGUUUCUAGGUGGAAGCUGAAUUAGUGAGGAUGACUCCUGCUCCUGUCAUCUCUAAGCUCCUCACACAUCUUUACCUGCACAUGAGGAAAAUCACUCCUGUAGAAUGCAGAUGUUCAGAGGGAGAUGAUGCCACAUCUGGUCCAGCUGAUGGAAGGUCUUGAAGUUCUCUGACUGGCCUCGACUGAAGAUGGUCGUCUCACUGGAUUUAAGGUUCAGAUGCUCAGUAACAAACUCCACCAAUGAGCCAACAGGGAAGCUUUAGGUUUAUUAAAUGUUGCUAUGAAGGUUUCGCUGUUUUUCUUUGUGAAUGCAAUGUGCUCCAACUGAAACUUGAAUUAGAACUUAGAAGUAAAUCCUUCCAUCUGAAAGGAUUUAGUUGCAUUAAUAACCUCAUAACAUUCUAAUUUUUAUUCCAGUCUUAGUUGGAAAUAGAAUCUCUGUAUUGAUUCAGGUAAAAACUGAACUUCACAGCAUGUUGGAGCAAAACAACCAGAUGAAAACUGUGAUGGUGUUGGAUUGUCAGACCGUAAUGUUGCAGCUCAAAGCAGCUUUUCUAUCUCAGUUCAUUCUGACAUUCAGCUAUGAAUCAACACAGCAGAUGGUGAUCCAUGCUGUGGAAGUCUCACAUCUCCUGAUUUAAUGGAGCUGCUUUGCACUUUUUACACUGUUUAUUCACCAACACUUUAUUUAAUAAAAGUCCCAUCUAGUUUUUAUGAGGAAUGUGAUGUUUUAAUUUCUCUGUGAAUAACUGCAGUCUAAUGUAACAGCUGGAAUUAUAACAUCUGUCCUGAUAUUGAUCAUGAAGUAUUGAUCAGAAUACUUAUGGUUAGCAGUCAUCCCUGAAGUUUUACAUUCAAAUCUUUACUUGUGUUGUGAACUUUGGUAAGAAGCAGAAACUUUUGCGUUGCCAUGGAUACAUGAGUGUUAAAUUCUGUCCAUGUUUCCAUUGUGGGAAAUGCAGUCCAGUUCCAGAAUGUGGAGGAAUUUAGUCUCACAAUCACAGACAACAAAUAUUAUCUGAAAGUUGGGUUAUUGUUGUUUAUCAGCACAAUACAAAAAUAUUAAUGUUAGAAAUAUUCCAGUUAAGACUCUAGAAUAUCAUGAUUUAUGUAAAUUUACCUCAGUAAUAUGAAUGUUCAGGUUAAGAUUGUACAGUGAUAUUUAUUAUGCAAGUUUAGCUGAUUAAAGUUUAUGACUCUGCACUAAAAUAUUAUUUAAAUUGACAUCAUUAUUAUAAUAUUUAGGGUCAGACCCUACAGUAUUGAGAUUAAGAAAUCAAAUAUUCUAUAAAAUGUAAAUACACUGAACUCAUUUGGAUAUAUUUAAGUGAGACUCUACAAUAUUAUUUGACACAAAUCUAUCUAAAUCAAAAUUUUAAUAAUUUUCACGCCAAACAUUUACUGGACUGAUUUAAAUAUUAAAAUCACUCCUUUCUAAUCCUCUGCUGUACGUUCAAACCUGAGGCCUUAAAUAGAAGCACACAAGUAUCUGAUUGAAGGAACUUCUGCAGAGUCCUGGUUCCAGAACAUGAUGAUAGAAUUAUAAAUAAACUUUAACAAAAGCUGCCUGAGAGUUUACAGGUUUUUAUGUUGGAUUUCUUCAGUAAUUUAAUGAGUUAUCAGCAAUAAUCAAGUGUUUAUUUGAUGAACUUCAUUUCCUAAAACAUCCAGAAUUGGAGCUCAUAUCUUUGGCAGCUGUAAAGUUUCUGCUCCUUCAAAGUUCACAACACAAUGAAUUAAUUCCUAAAACACUCUCAAUGCUGGAGAGCGUUUGUGAUGCUGAAGCAGUGACCAGUUUUUCUGUUUGUUCUCUGGAGAUGCACAAUGAGGGACUUCUGCAGAGACUGAGAAAGAGUCUCACCACAUCCUGACAUGAGGAAAAAGACUUUAUUGAAGACUACAAUGAGAAAAACUAUCAGACAGCAGACGGCAUGCAUUCAAGGUGAGCUCUGAACAUUUGAUCUGGAACAGGAAUUCAAUAACGGCAGCAUGAGCUUCAUUUCAGUCUGUAGCUGCUGAAUUCAUGGAUGAAUCAUCUGGCACUAGAGAAGAAGACCAUCAAACAUCCAUGUCAGCUGAUGGAGGUCCAAGAGUCUCACCCAACAAACAACCUACAGAGUGAAGACCUCAAAUCUGAUUGGACGGCCUCCUAUUCAGCCACAUUUUAGGCUGUUAGAUUGUUCCAGAUAAGACAAGUACAAGAUACUUCAGAGCCGUUCUACCACGAGCCUGACAGGAAGAACUCCAACAGCUACUGAAUGUUCCUGUGGUCCCCUCAAGGCUACAGGAGGAGCCCUACGAGGACGAGCCGGUCCACCUGAUGGAGGCCAGUCGCUGCGGUUCAAAGCCAACACCGACUACGUGGACUUCUACUGGACCACAUGGAGGCCUUCAAACCGGACCAACAAGUUCAGCGACUCCCCGACUUGUGGGUCUGAGGACGCCGCCGAGCCUCGGUCCAGCCGGCCUCCUGUCUGUGGAUGUUUGAGUGCUGAGAGGUUUGUGGAUGCAUGUGAACGUUCUGUGUUGAAACAGCAGCUUUGGACUCAGUAACGCCAGGAAAAACCAAGAGCUCCUUUAUUUGUGACUUCCACUAAAAAAACUGAUGAAAAUAAGUUUGCCAGG